UACAGAGGUCUCAAGCGUUGUUCGGAUUCAUUGGGCGUAAAGGGCGCGUAGGCUGCGGGGCAAGUCGGGUGUGAAAUCUCAGAGCUCAACUCUGAAACUGCACUCGAUACUGCUUUGCUUGAGGACUGGAGAGGAGAGUGGAAUUCACGGUGUAGCAGUGAAAUGCGUAGAUAUCGUGAGGAAGACCAGUGGCGAAGGCGGAUCUCUGGACAGUUCCUGACGCUGAGGCGCGAAGGCCAGGGGAGCAAACGGG
rnacentral:rRNA from 1 species